UAAUAAAUAGGAAUUGUGGAAGUUAGAAAGACUCAUCUUUUUCAUUCCCUCCCUCUUGAAUCUUCUACUUCUCUCUCGAACUCUCUCCCUCUCAAUUUGAUAAUAUAAGUAGGCGUGUCACUAUUAGGGGAAGGGGGAAUCGUCCUUUACAGCUGAGCCCACUCAUCCCUCCCACUUCUAUCAGGGUAUUCUCUCUUCUUGCCUCUCUCUCUUUCUUGAAAAUAUUCAGGGAGCUUCUGUACUAGACCUUGCCGGAAAUCGGCGAUUGCCGACCAACACCAGAGCACUGGUUCCGACAGCCCCUGCACUUCCCUCUUCUCCACUUUGAUUAGGUAUUUGUCGUUCAGUAACUGCACUCUCGUUAAGUUCUGAUCUUUUGGGGUAAAUCUUGAUGCAUAGCUAAUUAAUAUCGUAGAAGCCUUUUUGUAUGAAUAUAAAUAACUCCAAUUUAUGUCACUAAGUAGACUUUUGUACUUGUGUAUAAACUCUAUGCUUUUGCUACUCUAGAAUUAUAAAUAUAUUUUGUUAUAAUGAAAUCAGUAGAUUGACUAACA